AGAACGAACGCUGGCGGCAUGCCUAACACAUGCAAGUCGAACGAGACCUUCGGGUCUAGUGGCGCACGGGUGCGUAACGCGUGGGAAUCUGCCCUUGGGUUCGGGAUAACAGUUGGAAACGACUGCUAAUACCGGAUGAUGACUUCGGUCCAAAGAUUUAUCGCCCAGGGAUGAGCCCGCGUAGGAUUAGCUAGUUGGUGAGGUAAAGCUACACCGAAGGCGACGAUCCUUAGCUGGUCUGAGAGGAUGAUCAGCCACACGUGGACUGAGACCACGGCCCAGACUCCGUACGGGAGGCAGCAGGUAGGGGAACUAGUUAGGACGAAGUGGGACGAAAGCCGUAGA
rnacentral:rRNA from 1 species